UGGGGAAUCUUGCGCAAUGCGCGAAAGCGUGACGCAGCAACGCCGCGUGGGGGAAGACGGCCUUCGGGUUGUAAACCCCUUUCAGGAGGGACGAAGGUUCACCGGUGAAUAGCCGUGUGGAUUGACGGUACCUCCACAAGAAGCUCCGGCUAACUACGUGCCAGCAGCCGCGGUAAUACGUAGGGAGCAAGCGUUGUCCGGAAUCAUUGGGCGUAAAGCGCGCGUAGGUGGCUUCGUAAGUCCGUUGUGAAAGUCAAAGGCUCAACCUUUGAAUGCCGAUGGAUACUGCGGAGCUAGAGUACGGAAGAGGCGAGUGGAAUUCCUGGUGUAGCGGUGGAAUGCGCAGAUAUCAGGAGGAACACCAAUAGCGAAGGCAGCUCGCUGGGACGUUACUGACACUAAGGCGCGAAAGCGUGGGGAGCGAACAGGAUUAGAUACCCCCGUAGUCC
rnacentral:rRNA from 1 species